rnacentral:rRNA from 1 species
AUUGAACGCUGGCGGCAUGCCUAACACAUGCAAGUCGAACGGAGGUAGGGGCAACUCUACUUCAGUGGCGGACGGGUGAGGAAUGCGUCGGAAUCUACCCUAUGGUGGGGGAUAACACAGGGAAACUUGUGCUAAUACCGCAUAAUGUCGAGAGACCAAAGCAGGGGACCGGCAAGGCCUUGCGCGAUAGGAUGAGCCGACGCCCGAUUAGCUAGUUGGUAGGGUAAAGGCCUACCAAGGCGACGAUCGGUAGCUGGUCUGAGAGGAUGAUCAGCCACACUGGGACUGAGACACGGCCCAGACUCCUACGGGAGGCAGCAGUGGGGAAUAUUGGACAAUGGGCGCAAGCCUGAUCCAGCAAUGCCGCGUGUGUGAAGAAGGCCUGCGGGUUGUAAAGCACUUUGUUCGGGAAGAAAUCAUGCUGGUUAAUACCUGGUAUGGAUGACGGUACCGAAAGAAUAAGCACCGGCUAACUUCGUGCCAGCAGCC